GAAUGAGAUCCCUUAGAGUUUUGGUUUGGGGUCAGUCUUCAGUUGCGGGUAAAUCUAUGACUAUGGAAUAUUGCAAUGGGUUGUUGAACAACAACUAUGGCUAUGCCUUUAUUCGAGCCAAAUAAUAAUGAAUGGGAGACUGGUAGAGAGGAGAGUAAUGAAGGGCAUAUAAAGUGUCAUGUGAAGCUGGAGCGGUGAGCUGGGAAUGGUCCCCUUGCAUUCUUUGCAGCUAUUACUUUGCUUACCAACACUUUCCACUUGGCUUCGUCCUUCUUGCACUGAUGCACAACUUUCUCCUUGAAAUGGCUUUUAGAAAAGAAAAAGAAAAA